rnacentral:rRNA from 1 species
AUGCACGCUGGCGGCGUGCCUAAUACAUGCAAGUCGCGCGAACGGACGAGAAGCUUGCUUUUCUGAUGUUAGCGGCGGACGGGUGAGUAACACGUGGAUAACCUACCUAUAAGACUGGGAUAACUUCGGGAAACCGGAGCUAAUAUCGGAUAAUAUUUUGAACCGCAUGGUUCAAAAGUGAAAGACGGUCUUGCUGUCACUUAUAGGUGGAUCCGCGCUGCAUUAGCUAGUUGGUAAGGUAACGGCUUACCAAGGCAACGAUGCAUAGCCGACCUGAGAGGGUGAUCGGCCACACUGGAACUGAGACACGGUCCAGACUCCUACGGGAGGCAGCAGUAGGGAAUCUUCCGCAAUGGGCGAAAGCCUGACGGAGCAACGCCGCGUGAGUGAUGAAGGUCUUCGGAUCGUAAAACUCUGUUAUUAGGGAAGAACAUAUGUGUAAGUAACUGUGCACAUCUUGACGGUACCUAAUCAGAAAGCCACGGCUAACUACGUG